AUUGAACGCUGGCGGCAGGCUUAACACAUGCAAGUCGAGCGAGCGGCGGACGGGUUAGUAAUGUCUGGGAAACUGCCUGAUGGAUGGGGAUCACUACUGGACACGGUAGCUAAUACCGCCUACCAUCAGCUGUGCCCAGUUGGGAUUAGCUAGUGGGUGGGGUAAUGGCUCACCUAGGCGACGAUCCCUAGCUGGUCUGAGAGGAUGACCAGCCACACUGGAACUGAGACACGGUCCAGACUCCUACGGGAGGCAGCAGUGGGGAAUAUUGGACAAUGGGCGAAAGCCUGAUGCAGCCAUGCCGCGUGUAUGAAGAAGGCCUUCGGGUUGUAAAGUACUUUAAGCGGGGAGGCGUUACCAGCAGAAGAAGCACCGGCUAACUCCGUGCCAGCAGCCGCGGUAAUUC
rnacentral:rRNA from 1 species